UGACACAACGAUUGCAGUUGGUGAAAAACAGUUGAAGCGGAUUGAUGAUACCGGAAGAACCAGAAAGGAAAAUUUGAAGAAGUUUGAGAAACAGAAAGCUCGGAUCGUGGCUGCCGGAGUGCUGGGGAAGAAGUUUGCUAAGGAUCACGAAACGAGAGCAGCCAUUUUCCAUAGAAACUAGAACUGAAGUAUUGAGAGCAGUUGUGCACAGAUGUGAAGUAUGAAGAACUUCUGGAGGAACAACUUCAACAUAUAAAGACUUUUCGGAGAUCUGGAUUAAAAGCGUUUAAAUUAUUGAUAUUUGGGGAACGGAUCAAUCAGCGGACCCAAGCCUGGUUACUGAAAUUAUUGAAGUGGAAAAAGUCCGACAGGCCAGUCUCUCUUGGGGUUUGGCAGAAGAGUCGCAGCGAUAUCCAACAAGAGUGAACUAACUGUAAUUAUCAAGAUAAAGGGGAAA